rnacentral:rRNA from 1 species
AUAGGUGGCAAGCGUUAUCCGGAUUUAUUGGGCGUAAAGCGUGCGUAGAUGGUUUUGCAAGUCUGAGGUUAAAAUUUAGGGGCUCAACCCCUAAACCGCCUUGGAAACUACAUUACUAGAGUAUAGGAGAGGUUGGUGGAAUUUCAUGUGUAGCGGUGGAAUGCGUAGAUAUAUGAAGGAACACCAGUGGCGAAGGCGGCUAACUGGCCUAUUACUGACGUUGUGGCACGAAAGCGUGGGAGCAAAUAGGAUUAGAUACCCUAGUAGUCCACGCCGUAAACGAUGAGUACUAAGUGUUGCCAUGAGGCAGUGCUGUAGCUAACGCAUUAAGUACUCCGCCUGAGUAGUAUGCUCGCAAGAGUG